UGGGAAGUUGCAGUGGUCUGUGUGGCUUGCGUGUUGCGAGGUUGCGGUCUGCGUGGCUCACGUGUUGGGAGGUCGUUGUCUGCGUGGCUCACGUGUUGGGAAGUUGCAGUGGUCUGUGUGGCUUGCGUGUUGGAAGGUUGCAGUCUGUGUGGCCCGUGUGUUGGGAGGUUGUGGCUGCGUGGCUUGUGUGUUGGGAGGUUGUGGUUCACGUGGCUUGCAUGUUGGGAAGUUGCUGUGGUCUGCGUGGCUUAUGUGUUGGGAGGUUGUGGUUUGUGUGGCUUGUGUGUUGGGAGGUUGCAGUCUGCGUGGCUCGUGUGUUGGGAAGUUGCUGUGGUCUCUGUGGCUUAUGUGUUGGGAAGUUGCUGUGGUUUGCGUGGCUCGUGUGUUGGGAGGUUGCAGUUUGCGUGGCUUGCGUGUUGGGAAGUUGCUGUGGUCUGUGUGGCUUAUGUGUUGGGAGGUUGUGGGUUUGUGUGGCUCACGUGUUGGGAGGUUGUGGUCUGCGUGGCGCACGUGUGGGGCGGUUGCGGUCUGCGUGGCUCACGUGUGGGGCGGUUGCUUGGCUCGCCUUUUGGGAGUUUGUGGUUUGCAUGGCUUGUGUGUUGGAAAGUUGCUGUGGUCUGUGUGGCUUAUCUGUUGGGAGGUUGUGGUCUGCGUGCCUUAUGUGUUGGGAAGUUGUUUAUGUGGCUUGUGUGCUGGAGGUUGUGGUCUGCGUGGCUCAUGUGUUAGGCGGUUGUCUGCUUGGCUUACGUGUUGGGAAGUUGUGGUCUGCGUGCCUUACGUGUUGGGAAGUUGUUUAUGUGGCUUGUGUGCUGGAGGUUGUGGUCUGCGUGGCUCACGUGUUGGGCGGUUGUCUGCUUGGCUCACGUGUUGGGAAGUUGUGGUCUGCUUGGCUCAUGUGUUGGGAAGUUGUUUAUGUGGCUUGUGUGCUGGAGGUUGUGGUCUGCGUGGCUCAUGUGUUGGGCGGUUGUCUGCUUGGCUCACGUGUUGGGAAGUUGUGGUCUGCGUGGCUUAUGUGUUGGGAAGUUGUUUAUGUGGCUUGUGUGCUGGAGGUUGUGGUCUGCGUGGCUUGCACUGUAGUUCUUUUGGACAGCCUUGUUCUGCAGUCUGUGCUUCAGCCCUGGAAUUGCCACAUUCUCCAAGAAGCCCUGGUUUCUUGACUAGAGAGCCUUGUUUAGAAGCCAGGACCUGGGUUCUGGGUGAAG
rnacentral:lncRNA from 1 species